rnacentral:rRNA from 1 species
CCUACGGGGGGCUGCAGUGGGGAAUAUUGCACAAUGGGGGAAACCCUGAUGCAGCAACGCCGCGUGAGCGAAGAAGGCCUUCGGGUCGUAAAGCUCUGUCCUAAGGGAAGAAUUUUGACGGUACCUUAGGAGGAAGCCCCGGCUAACUACGUGCCAGCAGCCGCGGUAAUACGUAGGGGGCAAGCGUUAUCCGGAAUCACUGGGCGUAAAGGGUGCGUAGGCGGCUAAGUAAGCCAGGGGUGAAAGGCUACGGCUCAACCGAGGUCAGCUCUUGAAACUGUAGGGCUUGAGUGCAGGAGAGGAGAGCGGAAUUCCUAGUGUAGCGGUGAAAUGCGUAGAUAUUAGGAGGAACACCAGUGGCGAAGGCGGCUCUCUGGACUGCAACUGACGCUGAGGCACGAAAGCGUGGGGAGCGAACAGGAUUAGAUACCCUUGUAGUC